AUUGAACGCUGGCGGCAUGCCUUACACAUGCAAGUCGAACGGUAACAGAUCUUCGGAUGCUGACGAGUGGCGAACGGGUGAGUAAUACAUCGGAACGUGCCUAGUAGUGGGGGACAACUACUCGAAAGAGUGGCUAAUACCGCAUGAGAUCUACGGAUGAAAGCAGGGGAGUGCAAGCACUUGUGCUACUAGACCGGCCGAUGGCAGAUUAGGUAGUUGGUGGGAUAAAAGCUUACCAAGCCGACGAUCUGUAGAUGGUCCGAGAGGACGAUCAGCCACACUGGUACUGAGACACGGCCCAGACUCCUACGGGAGGCAGCAGUGGGGAAUUUUGGACAAUGGGCGCAAGCCUGAUCCAGCAAUGCCGCGUGCAGGAUGAAGGCCUUCGGGUUGUAAACUGCUUUUGUACGGAACGAAAAGCCCUGGGUUAAUACCCUGGGGUCAUGACGGUACCGUAAGAAUAAGCACCGGCUAACUACGUGCCAGCCGCCGCCGUAAAAC
rnacentral:rRNA from 1 species